CACCACUGGAGCACUGCUGUGUGGGGCUGUCUAUCCUGAUGGGACGUGAUGUAACAAGACUUUGUGUGCUCUCUGAUCGAUUGUGUCUGUAGGUUGCCACCACAGUGUUCACCCCUCUGGAGUAUGGCUGUGUGGGCCUGUCAGAGGAGGAGGCUGAGAGCAGACAUCCAUCCAGGACUCCAUCGAGGUGUACCAUGCCUUCUACAAGCUUCUGGAGUUUACUGUGGCUGAGAGAUGCCAGCAUGUAUUACAUUAAGGAAUUUUCCACCAGGAUUCCUGGAGAUCUGAAUUUUGGGAAAGUUAUGUUGAUGCCUUACCUUAGAUCAUCCAUCUGGCACAUACUGGGUAGCCUAUAGUGUAGUUUAAUAGCCUUAUUUUGCCUCUGGACUGUAGCCUGGAGGUUUGGGGUGGGGGGGGUGUAACGUUGUUUCUUUCCCUGCCUCAGGUGGUGUGUGAGCGGGAUGGAGAUCAGAGGAUUCUGGGCCUGCACUUCACCAGUUCGAACGCUGGAGAGGUCACUCAGGGCUUCGCUAUGGGCUUCCAGUGUGGAGCCACCUUCACUCAUCUGACAGAGACCGUAGUGAUCCACCCCACCUGUGCCGAGGAGCUAACCAAAGUGAACGUCAGCAAGCGCUCAGGGCUGGACGCCACAGUUCCCGGCUGCUGAGGUUAAGCACCCCCUUCUCUCAACACACUUGAGCACAUGGGAAGGAACCUCUUCAUAGAGACAGGGGAAAAAGUGACAGUGCUCUCCUAAAUUCUACAUAACAGUCCAUGUAAUCCUGUAGCUGCUCUCUCGAUCAGCCUAAAAUGUCUCUCAGUUCUACAGCGUUUCAGGGACCGUAUUCAUAGUCUCAGAGUAGGACUGCUGAUCUAGGAUCAGUUUUUCCUUCUAGGUACUAUUGAAUAAGAUUAUAUGGACACGGGGGACCUGAUUCCAGAUCAGCACUCCUACAAUGAGACUCUUUAUGAAUACUAAGGCCCAGUUUCUCGUGCUUGACUGUGUCGUAUCAUUGCAGGGUCCUCCAGGUCAUGGCUGUAAUGCUAUAUGCAGGGAAAGCCAGAUUUGUGUCAGGUUUGACUUGUGGCCUCAUUAACCAGGAGAUGGUUAUCCAAUUUAGCCCCAUAAUGUAAGUACUCUCCUCUACUCCGUAUCUGAAAGCCAUAAGGAGUUCUAGAUCCAGGUUAGUGAAACUUCCAGCCACAAGCAUCGUCCUUUAAAUAAACAGGCUCAUAAAUCAGGAUUAGGGCCCAUUCCAGUUUGUUGAAACAGGACUGUAUAAGAGAGAGAGAAAGCCGUGCAACUAAUGUUCCUGAAAUAUAUUCUGCAAAUAUUGUUGUUUCUCCGCCUGUGCUUCCUGUUCAUUGGUCUUGAGUGAUACAUGCGUUGCCCGGGCGACACUGAUUGAUGUUCUCAUGGCCGUCGCCGCUGUGACACCACCCCGUUUCCCAUGGACACACACAAACAGUCGGCGUGCCGACUGUCAGUCAAAGAGGUGUAGCGCUGGGCCCAGCCGGGGCCUGGCCAGUGCUGCUGCCCCUCUCCAGCACUCUGACCCUCCCCCUCACUCCUCUAAACUCCAAUGCACAAAGGAAUACGGUGGGACUGCAAUAACAGCCUCUGUCAGUCUGUGUGUGGGGAUACCUUGGCCAGCAGUCUCUGGCAACCCAAUCUCUCCCUCUAUGGGAGAGAUGGAGACUGAGGGAACUGCCUGGGCCGGGCCACAGUAGUGGAGGUACCUAACACUACCUAAUGGUGGCGAUAUUGCCCUUUUUUCUUCCUUGCCGGUCAAGAAAUGAUAGGUUAGUGAAGUCUGUGUAUGAAGAAUAAGCCCUCAUGCAUUCAAGGUCCACAUUUUAAUCCUUUAAUCCAUAUUUAAGAUAUCUGUAAUUGAAUAAAUGUGGAGGCCAUGGAGACUUUUGUAGUGCCAACUGAUAACAUUGUGUAUUUACACGGCUGGCAGUUCAGCUCAGUCAUCACCCUACCCUCUGAGAAGGCCAUUUUGUUUAUUUCACUUAAAUGGCAUUAUACUGUUUUUUAAUAGUCACAUACAUUCUGUCGUACUAUUCAAGUCUUCAAACAAUGUCAAGUAUGUCUUUUUACAUGAGUCCACUCUUCACCCAAUCACCCUUUCCUAUAACCACUGGAAUCAUAGAACUAUGCAGUGCUGGACAAGUCAUGCAGUUGAAUUGAGUGGAGCAGAGUAGGGAGUGGUGGAGGUGAGGGGUCUAAGAGGAGGGAACUGGGCUGGUUUAUUUAUGUUUGAAGUCUAAUCUGCCUGGCCUGAUUAAUGAUCCUGACGAGGGGAGUGACAGCGCACAGCACGGGCGAUGGAGGGAGAAAUGGAAAGAGUGUAGAGAUGGAGGAGAGAAGGGAGCAGCAGCGCUACCAGGUUUAUAUGGACCUGGGGUUGAGAGGGAUGCAGCCAGGCCAUGGGGAGGUAGAGGGGGGUAUGGAGAAGGUGUAGAAGGAGGGGGGGAUUCCUGUGUGCUCUGUUCAGGGACGGGGUGCUGACUGAAGGACCCUGACCCCCGCUCGGCAGCAACAGCUUGACUCUAUCACCCACAGACCAGCACAAAGUUAGCCCACAUGCUCUUAGCUGCAAGGCUGGGGACAUGCAAAACACUGACUAACUGUUGUAUUUGCCAUGGAUAGAUAAAUAAGUAAAUGUCUCUGCUUAACGAGGCACUCAGUCUAGAGACUAGGCUGCCUCUGAGCCCAAGGCUACAUACAGAUAAUAAUGUAUUGUCUGUUUACGUUGUUUUUUAUUUCUGACUGUCCUGUUUUUUCUGCGCAAAUCCACAAUUUUUUUUAUAAGUCAGAAUCAUAUUUGUGGCUGAAUUGUUUGCAAUGUCUUUAUUCAUUGUUGUUGAUAUACAGACAGUGCCUUGGGUCUUGAAUUGGACAACCGCGUCAGCCUUACAGAACGUAAUGCUUAGUUGCUCACUGGGGUCAGGGUUAAACUUUCAGGUCGCCAGCUAAUGAUGACUUGCACUAAAACCCACAACUGGGGAGGGCAUGUCUGAUGACACCUGGCGACCAACUUUAGUUACUGUAAAUAGAGUAGCCUAAUUUACAAUGAAGCUUCGUACUGCAUUAUUUAUGUGUAAAGGAAGGAAUAAAAUAUGAGAUUGCACUGAUGACUCCCAUUAAAAUAAUGAUGUCCUCUGUGUGUG